rnacentral:rRNA from 1 species
GAUCAUGGCUCAGAACGAACGCUGGCGGCAGGCCUAACACAUGCAAGUCGAACGCCGUAGCAAUACGGAGUGGCAGACGGGUGAGUAACGCGUGGGAACAUGCCUUGGUUCGGAAUAACUCAGGGAAACUUGAGCUAAUACCGGAUAAGCCCGAGAGGGGAAAGAUUUAUCGCCGAAGGAUUGGCCCGCGUCCGAUUAGCUAGUUGGUGAGGUAAUGGCUCACCAAGGCGACGAUCGGUAGCUGGUCUGAGAGGAUGAUCAGCCACACUGGGACUGAGACACGGCCCAGACUCCUACGGGAGGCAGCAGUGGGAAUAUUGGACAAUGGGCGCAAGCCUGAUCCAGCCAUGCCGCGUGAGUGAUGAAGGCCCUAGGGUUGUAAAGCUCUUUCGCCAGGGACGAUAAUGACGGUACCUGGAUAAGAAGCCCCGGCUAACUUCGUG